rnacentral:rRNA from 1 species
AUGGAGCUUACAUUGACAUUGCCCAUGGCCAUGGCCUUGGUCACCAUCCUCAUCGUACUCGUCCUCAGCUCCGUCUUCUCACGGCGCCGCCAGAGUGAGGCCCUGAACCUCCCGCCGGGACCGCGGGGCUGGCCAGUGCUCGGCAGCCUCGGCGCCCUCGCGGGCGCGCUCCCGCCGCACCGCGCUCUGGCUGCGCUCGCGGCGCGCCACGGCCCGCUCAUGCACCUCCGUCUUGGUUCCUACCACGCCGUCGUCGCCUCCUCCGCCGAUGCCGCCCGGCUCGUCCUCAAGACACACGACCUCGCCUUCGCCGACCGUCCGUGCACCGCUGCCGGCGAGCACGCCGCGUACGGGUACCUUGGUAUCGUGCACACCCCGUAUGGCGCAUACUGGCGUAUGGCGCGCAGGCUCUGCGCCACGGAGCUCUUCUCCCCGCGCCGCGUCGACUCGUACGAGUAUAUUCGGAAGCAGGAGCUCCGGGCGCUCGUGUGUGGCCUGUUCGAAUGCCGCGGCCGUGCCGUUGCGGUCCGGCAGCACCUGGCGGACGCCACGCUGCGGAAUGUCCUGCGCAUGUCGAUCGGGGAGAAGUGGUCGGGCUGCUACGGCAGCCCUGAGGGUGAGGAGUUCCGGCGAACGCUUGAUGAAGCGUUCGCGGUGACCGGAGCGGUGAGCAACGUCGGCGAGUGGGUGCCAUGGCUCGGGUGGCUCGACGUGCAGGGCUGCGUCCGGAGGAUGAAGAGGUUGAGCAAGGUGUACGAUCGGUUCCUCGAGAGGAUUCUCGAUGAGCACGACGAGGAGCGGCGCCAGGUGGCGAUGGCUACCGGAACUGGCCACGGCGAGUCCGCUGCAGCGAGGGACUUGGUGGACGUGCUGCUGCAGCUCGCCGAGGAGGAAGGCGAGACGGCUGGGACGUCGUCAACAGAAGCAAGGCUCACGCGUGACGGCGUCAAGGCCUUUGUCCAGGACAUCAUCGCCGGUGGCACGGAGAGCUCUGCGGUGACCAUGGAGUGGACCAUGUCGGAGCUCUUGCGCCGGCCGGAUGCCGCAGCCGCCGCCACCGAGGAGCUCGACCGCGUGGUGGGCCGCAGCCGGUGGGUCGAAGAAAGCGACCUGGCCCGCCUCCCCUACAUCGACGCCGUGGUGAAGGAAACAAUGCGGCUGCACCCGGUGGGCCCGCUUCUAGUCCCGCACAUGGCUCGGGAGGACACACUGGUCACCGGCUACGACGUCCCCGCCGGCGCGCGCGUGCUGGUGAACGUGUGGGCCAUUGCGCGAGACCCGGCGUCGUGGCCCGACCGGCCCGACGAGUUCCGGCCGGAGCGCUUCGCCGGGAGCGCCGUGGACGUUCGUGGGCAGCACUUCGAGCUGCUGCCGUUCGGUGCCGGGCGGCGGAUAUGCCCGGCGUACGGGCUGGCGAUGAAGGUGAUAGGCGCCGGCCUGGCCAACCUGCUGCAAGGAUUCGCGUGGCGGCUGCCCGAGGGGGUCUCGCCGGAGGACCUGAGCAUGGAGGAGCAUGUCGGGCUGUCGACGCGCAGGAAGGUGCCACUCGUCGCCGUACCGGAGCCCAGGCUGCCGGCGCAUCUCUACACCGCCAUGACCUGA